CGUGUGGAUAGACCACAUUUUCUUUAUCCAUGCAUCUGGUGGACAUCUGGGUUGCUUCCACUUUUCGGCUAUUGUGAAGAGUGCUGCUAUGGACCAAUUUUUGUUUGAAAACCUGUUUUCAAUUCUUUUGGAUAUAAACCUAGGAGUGGAAUUUCUGGGUUAUGUGGAAAUGCCAAACUGUUUUCCACAGUGGCUGCACUGUUUGACAUUCCCACCAGCAAUGUAUUCGGGUUCCACUUCCUCUGCAGCUUUGCCAACACUUAUCAUUAUCUGUUUUUUGUUUAAAUUAUAGCCACUCUCAUGGGUGUGAAGUGGCACCUCAUUGUGCCCUUGAUUUGCAUUUCCCUGACGACUAAUGACGUUUGAGCAUCUUUUCAUGUGCUUGUUGGCCAUUUAUGGAGCCAAGGUGUCCGGCCUGAGCAACCAUAGGCUGGAGCUGUCAAUGAAUGAAGGGGAGAUGAUGGGAGAGGCGCUCAGCUUGACGUGGUAAAUGCGAUGUCCGUGUUGGACGUCCCAGUGGAGACGUGGAACUGGCGGUCGGUGGUGAGUCAGGAGGGCAGAGUGAGGCCUGGGCUGAGGUGUAAACUUGGUGUCAUCAGCAAUGGCAACAUUUAAACCACAAGGUGCAAGGAGUGCCUGGCACACGCACGGCAGAGGCUGGACCCUGAGGAAGGAGACGGGGAAGGCGUGGCCAGUGGGGAAGAAGGAAAACCGGGUGAGGCGCCCGGAGGCCCAGCGGAGGCGGUGUUUCGGGGGACGGGAGAGGAGCACCUGUGUCAGCUGCUGCUGGUGGGAAGCACACAGCGCUGACAAUCCACUUGCUAAGGUGGGAUUGAGGCGACCCUGACUUCACUUGCAAGCCUGCCUGGAGCGAGUUUACGAGAGCGGGAGCAAAAGUGGAAAGAGGGUCUUCCUAUUCAACGUGGGAGGAAGUAUGAACACCAGGAGGGAAAUCAUAAGGGCGUCUACCGUGGUUUGCCCCCUGGUCUCCAAUAAGCCACGUUCUUUCACAUGAAUUCUUUAGGGUUCCCUGGUGACCCUGAAGUAUGGUGCCCUAGAGGAAAGACAGGGGAAUGGUGAGUCCUUUCCUCUUCACUGGUGGCCUCCGUUACAGCAGCGACCUGGCCCUUCCUGGAUUUGUGGCCCACAUCAAGGCAGGAGAGAGAGAAGAAGGCUGAGGAAGCUGACAGCAGACGUGGUUUCCAAGGAAACAGGAAGUAAUCGCCAGGCCCUCUGAGGAUCAUUAUUUCUUUGUCCUGCUAAAAGCCAGAUGCUCCCACCUUCUAAGCCAGCUCAGACGGUUGAGCAGGCACCAAAAUGGGUCCCCAGGGAGGAGACGAGGGGCUGGGGGAGCCUAUGGAGGGGGCGCUGCUCCCUCUGCUGGACCCCCUUCCUCUCACGAGGCCUCCCCUUCCUCGCAAAGACAUGCCCUUCCCCCAAAUCUCCUUAGGCCGCGAUGGGAGCCUAGUGUUUGAUGAGGAAUACACGGGAAGUUGUCUUCCCUGGAGCUCCAAGCACAGGACGCCUUUGCUCGGAGUCUGUCCCGGGAUUCAUCCGCGAGGAUUCCAGCCUGUGGACCCGCCUGGUCCCGGGUGGAGGGAUGGCGGGCCUGAGUGCCGAAUGCUCCAGAAAUAAACCGAGCAAUGACACUGUGUCCAGCGCUCAGACACCGUGAUCUGAGGUGGCCGAGGUGCAAGACCUCCCUGGAGCCGUCAAGAAUCAGCAUCUAAGGGGCACUUCUUUGGGGCCACACGUGACACGGGGCGGGCUGGAGCUGUAGGCACGGGUUCUCACAACCCCUCAGAGAACCCCCUGAAGCAGACGCUGUUUUCACUCGCAUUUCCCAGAUGUGGGAAUGGAGGCCCAGCUGGGUUGGGUCACUUGUCCACGGUCGUCCAAAGCUCCCCCUGCUGUCUGCCUGCAGAAUCGGCCCCAGAUUGUCUGUCCUUGCCCGGCCACUGGGAGAUGAUCUACUGAUGGGUAUAAACUUGUAUUAUAUCAUUAUUCGCCUCUAGCCAUGUGUAUCUGACUUUUUCAGUGGACCUAAAUGUGUAUAAAGGGUCCACUCAUGUUGUACCCCAGGGUAGCUCCCGAGUUCCGACUGUGGCCCAGGUGGACGCCAGCGGGAGCUGGGCGGUGGGGAUGAGGAUGCUGAGGCCUGGCUGCUGCAGAGCUGGCCUCCAGACGCAUGAGUGCUGGGCUCAGUACCGCUGGGCAGCGGAGCCGGCCUGAGUCUGACAUUUUCCUCGAUGCUGGACAGACUUCAUUGGUUCCAGAAGAGUGUUCAACGGCGUCAAUGGAUCCAUGGAGGAAAUGCCCCUAAAAGCAACGUCCCCCUCACCAGAAAAAGUGGCUGAACGCACAUGAGCACUGAAGUGGUGCUGCUUGAGCAAAUCGGGCUCUCAUGGAUGUGGGAGGGGACGUCACACCCACAACGAUCGUGCUUCCCAGCUCUCUGGUUAGGACGGCAGGGGUCCAGCGUCGCCUGGGUCACGUUAAGGCAGGGUCGUCUCUGCCCCACCGUGGAUGGGGGGAUCCUGGGCAUCUUCCUGUGGCCUGCCCAUGCUGGCUUCCUGGGGAGUUCUGUCGUUUCCACAACAUUCCCGGCCCCCCGGCCCCCAUUGCAAAUGGAAGACGAAUGACUUCUGGGGAAACCUGCUACCUUGUUGGUUUCCUCUUCUGGGGCAGCACAGCCCUGAGAGUGGCCUUGCUGUGGGCCAGAGGGUGCUUUGGAGCCAUUUUCCCUCAUCUUUACAUCUCCGGAAAUGAGCUCUUCCUGGGGGCAGCAGGAGCUCCACGGGGGGUGCUGGUGGGGGCAGCCCCUGUGGGCGAGGGGCCUCUGAGGGUGGUGUGGGAGGAGCCGGGACGUGAAGCAUCACCUAGAGGUGGCCUCCUUGGGGCUGGAGACACCACAGCCUCGGGUUGUGUGGUCAGGAAGGGCCUGCUCCGUGUAUGACAUGGGGUGAGGUGCCUGGCUCUGAGAGUCUCACUUUGUCAUCUGUAAAAUGGGCACAAUGAUUCCUCCCCCAGGGGAUGGCAUGCUUGUGUAACAGGUAAGAAUCCGGUUUCACAAACUUAAGUCAGUGUCAACCCUGACGCGGCUUUACUUACAUCCCAUUGAGUCUGACUGUGGGAUGGGAAGGAAUCCUAUCCCAGCCAUCGGUGGCUUCUCCUCUCCAAACCCUGCCGCAGGGACGUCACAGCUCUGGGGACCAGUCUCUGGUCUACGUGGUCACCAUGGGGAUGCCCUUUGCCGUGCCCUGUGGUCCCCAUGGCCCCUUGGGGUCAGGGUGCAGCCUCUCUGUGGACGCCAUGGCCAUCCCCUUCCUUGGGUUGGUUCUAUGAAUCCGGGGCUCUGGGACCUCACUCCCCAGAGGCCCUGUGGACUCUGCUCUUCCCUGGCUGUGGGGAUCUUUGCUUUCUUCUCCCCGCCCCUCCAACACUCCCAGCGUCAUCGCUCCCUGUGUUUGAGUUUUCAUAGAAAGAGACCGUUUGGGGAAAGCUUCAGCUUUGGUCCAAUCACAAUGGGCUCCAAGAAGCAAGAGAGCUAAGCUGGCUUCCUUCCUGGACUCGGGAGCUGGAGAGACAGGAGGACGAAACCCAGCUGACCUCAUCCAGCAGCCCUGCCCUCGUGGGGUGGGAGCUGCCCUCCUCUUCUCCAGCGACUCUUCCUGUCCCCAGCCGCCUCCCGUUCACACCACCCCAGGGAUAGGAACUUCCCGCUCGCCUCCCAGGAACCCGGAACGGCUCUAGCGCUUUUGCCUGUGAUGUUUCAUCUCAUCCCCCAAUGAACAUGAGGGAGAGGACCAUCCUCACGCCCACUCCCCAGGCGAGCAAGCUGAUGCCCCCAGCACCUCGCUCGCUAGUUCAAGGCCACACAGCUUGUUUGUUAAAUUGAGUCGGGAUUUACAUGCGGGUCUUGGAACCUCCUUUUCUCUUCCCGCCUGACAAGGAAACCUUGGCAUCGCUGGUUAAUCAAGACCUUAGUUUAUAGUUUGAUCACAAAGGUAAUACCAGCUUAAACACAGAGGUUCUAGAAACUACAGAGAAAAAGAAAACCGUAAAAGUCACUGUCCCCCAUCUAUUGAUAAAACAUGUGCGUUCUUAGACCUGUGCUUUCAAACCGGAGCGAGCCCCUGGAGGCCUGUGAGGACCCCCCAUCUCUGGGCCCCCACGGUGUCUGACUCAGUGGGUCUGGGGCGGGGGGCAGGAGGAGGCAAGAAUUUGCAUUUCUAACAAGUUCCCAUGUGACGCUGAUGCUGCUUCUCCGAGGACCCCACUUUGGGACCAGAGCCCCUCAACCUUGGCACUAUUGGCACCUGGGCUGACGUUCUCUGCUGUGGGGCUGUCCUGUGCACUGUAGGGUGUCUGGCAGCAUCCCUGGGCUCCACCCGUUGGAUGCUAGUAGCACCGCCACCCCCGGCCCCAGGAUGACAACCAAGAAUGUCUCCAGAUAUCGUCAAAUGUCCCCUGGGAGACAAAAUUGCCCCCCAUGAGAACCCCUGCUCAGUUCUCAUCUCCUAUGUCCAUUUGCAUUUGCACAGACACCCCUCCAACACCCUCGCACUCACACACACACACAUUUCCUUUUCCUCAAGAAUAUUGUGAAACCAUAAAUACAGUUUUAGAACUCGCUCUUUUUCACCUAACAGCACACUGCCCAUUAACUCAGCAAUUAGCUCUGCUGGCAGCAAAGAGAAACAGGUUUCUGCACAGACGAUGGGGGAGCAUCGCUUCCAGCCACCGCGCGGCUCCGGCCAGGAAUCGGGUGGUGGAGGGGCCUUCCAGGUCUUCAGUCACAGCCCAGAGCUGGAACCUCUGACUUCGAGGGCUGUGUUAAGGCCGGGAUGCCAACAUCUUACCAAGCUGUCAGGCUUCCCAAAGCGCCGGGCAGAGCGUGUAAGAAAAAUGAGCCACCUGACAACACGAUCGUGAACUACAACAGAGGUGGUCAGGGAUCCCGGUCUUGAACCUUCUUCCACCCUCAGUGGGUUUUGGAGAUGGACCAAGAGAGCCAGAGCUUGCAGACUGGGAGUGAGGGGUCCUGGCUGUCUCCUUUGCCUGGAUGGAGGUCGCCAGACUGCUGCUGUUGUCCAGUAGGCAGGCUGCUCGCCACACGGCCAUGAUGAAGGCCUGUGAGGUGGUUCCUGGGACCUUUUAUGGGAUGUUGGCUUUUGCUGCCCCUGCUUACCCAUGAGGUCCUUUGGUCUUCCAGCCUCAUGACUGCACUGUCCCCCAAACCAGGAAUUGGUCACUGCCCACCAUCGCCCUGUUGGGGGGGCCUACUGGCCAGUGUCAGGGCUGCUGCUGGAAGCUGCAAGAUGCCGACUGGGCAGGCAUGCUGGGAAGGGAAUACCAGGAAGGGCAGUCGUGUCCAUCACGUCUGCCUCUCCCAGCAUCCGCUCCUCCCUCCUCCCGCCCGUGCUGUGCAGCUGCCCAAUGAUUUGGGUGGAAUCGACCUUGCUCCCAGCCCAUGGCUGGGCCCUGAUUGGUCUAAAUCAGUCCAUCUUGUCCCAUCCUCUGUUCCAUGGGGAUUUUAUGGUCUAGAGAAGGAUGCUUCUGUACCCCCAGUGGUGUGCUGGAGCUGCUCAGAACUGGCUUUGAGAAGCUAUCGUGUGUGGGUCUUUCCAACUGUGAUGUCAAGUUGUAGCUGGAAAUCAGCUGCGGUGGGAGUAUUUACCCAACAGAAAUUGGCGACUGCUAGCAAUCGGAGCCCCACUCCCGCCCAGCUGCCUUACCAGCCCACCCAGAUCCUCUCCCACUAAUUGUGAUCAAGGAGCCAGGCGGCCCCCUCUGCUGCUGGUGGCCACCCGAUGGCCAUAAGAGGGCCUGAUGUAGGAAGAGGCUAAGAGCAUCGUUUUUGAUGACAUUGUCUGAUCAUGCCUCGCCUCUGGACUUUUGGGUUGCAUUUUCCCCUUUUUCUUGAGAGCAUCCUAAAUGAUACAGCCUGGCAGGUGGGGUGGGAUGUCACCACGUAAGGCCCUUUAGCCCUCUGGCCGCUGUGGAACAACGAGGGCUCGUUUUUGUCAAAGAGGAAACUUGUCCAGUGUGAGUGCUGCCGGCUGGUCCUGCCCCUCUUCCUGCCACCUCGGGACUUCAGUGCUGGCUGGGCUGACUUCUCCACCCCUGGCUUUUGAGAUGAGCUUUGUCUCUGCCGGGUCGUUUCCCAGACUCCACAGUGCAAAAUUGGGAGGGUAGGAAAGAGAGUCGAGGACAGGGUGGGAGCUGCCCCAGAGGUUGGGGGGAUUUUUGGUGGACUGGAGAGGAGAAGAGACAGAGAGACUGAGAGAAAGGCAGGCCUGGGACACCCACAGACCAUGAGAGAAUAGGAGAGGCGAUUUCACGCAGCGCAAUUGAGGUUCCUUUGUCGUUUUCUGAGAACCAUUAGUCGAGGAUAUUUUAGCACCUUCUGGAAUACGACAAGCCUGGCCCUGCACAGAGACUGCACUGGACACUGCGUCUUGUCCUACUUUUGGCUCCGCUGGUGUCCUUGCUCCCCAAGGGGCUCCGAUAUCUGGGGCAGAGGAGUCUGAGCAGCAUUUUGGUCUCUUCUUCUGGGAUUUGCCCCGAUAAGAAACAAUGGACCCAGGUACUUAAGGAGCAACGAUCCCGCAGCUACGGAAGCCAAAGACUAAAGCGCCUUUUUUUUUUCUGGGAAACCUCCCGACCCUAUUCAUGGACCUCGGUCUCUUUUGUACAAAAGAAUGUGGAGCAAAGCAGACUGUAGUGACUUGGGGAAAAGUGGAGGAAACAACCCAAUUUGAGGAAAUUUCUGGAAGGAAUGGAGAACCCACUUUCUGUGCUGUAUUUCCGGGUGUACACAAGUCGGCACCAGGACAAAGCCGGAAGUGCCACCACGCGGCCUUCACGCUCCUGGUUUUGAGCCAUCAGGAGCUGUUUCUGGUCUUUUAAAAAAGCCCUUAGCCCUGGGGCUGGCCCCGUGGCCGAGUGGUUAAGUUCGCGCGCUC